rnacentral:rRNA from 1 species
CGACCGGCGAACGGGUGAGUAUCGAGUAUGCACCUACCUUUAACUGGAGAAUAGCCCGAAGAAAUUCGGAUUAAUGCUCCAUAAUAUCAAGAGAAUGCAUAUUCUUUUGAUUAAAGCUCCGGCGGUUAAAGAUGGGCAUGCGUGCCAUUAGCUUGUUGGUGAGGUAACGGCUCACCAAGGCAACGAUGGCUAGGGGUUCUGAGAGGAUGAUCCCCCACACUGGUACUGAGACACGGACCAGACUCCUACGGGAGGCAGCAGUGAGGAAUAUUGGUCAAUGGGCGAAAGCCUGAACCAGCCAUGCCGCGUGCAGGAUGACGGCGCUAUGCGUUGUAAACUGCUUUUCUGCUCCAAGAACCCCCCGAUCGUGAUCGGGGUUGACGGUAGAGCAGGAAUAAGCAUCGGCUAACUCCGUGCCAGCAGCCGCGGUAAUACGGAGGAUGCAAGCGUUAUCCGGAUUUAUUGGGUUUAAAGGGUGCGUAGGCGGGAUAAUAAGUCAGUGGUGAAAUCCUGCGGCUUAACCGUAGAAUUGUCAUUGAUACUGUUAUUCUUGAGUUCAGUUGAGGUGGGCGGAAUGUAUAAUGUAGCGGUGAAAUGCUUAGAUAUUAUACAGAACACCGAUUGCGAAGGCAGCUCACUAAGCUGAUACUGACGCUGAGGCACGAAAGCGUGGGGAGCGAACAGGAUUAGAUACCCUGGUAGUCCACGCUGUAAACGAUGAUCACUCGCUGGUGGCAAUACAUCGUCAGCGGCUGAGCGAAAGCUUUAAGUGAUCCACCUGGGGAGUACGUCGGCCACGAUGAAACUCAAAGGAAUUGACGGGGGCCCGCACAAGCGGUGGAACAUGUGGUUCAAUUCGAUGAUACGCGAGGAACCUUACCUGGGGCUUAAAUGCAGAACGACGGUUCCCGAAAGGGAUCCUUCUUCGGACGGACUGCAAGGUGCUGCAUGGUUGUCGUCAGCUCGUGCCGUGAGGUGUCGGGUUAAGUCCCAUAACGAGCGCAACCCCUAUUGUUAGUUGCCAGCGAGUAAUGUCGGGGACUCUAACGAAACUGCCGGUGUAACACGAGAGGAAGGUGGGGAUGACGUCAAAUCAGCACGGCCCUUAUGUCCAGG